UGUUCGAGAAGCGCUCUUCCCAUAUGGCACAAAACAGGGCAAAUCAACAGGAAGCAGAUUCUCUAUCCUGCCAGCACUCUUGUCAGUGCUCUAGGAGAAAAAUAAACCCUCAAGGCUGUUAAAAAAGGAAUGGAAAUGUGUUACAGUGUGGGCAGGGAUGCCGUUCUGAGAUAAGGACAAAGCCUGGAGCUGUUUGUGGAAGCCUUUAUUUGAGAGUUUUUCAUCCUUCUUGGAGAAUCCUGGUGAGUCAGUGCUAUGAAAGCAAGGCCCUGUCAUGGGCAGUCAUUGCAGUAUUUCAGCUUGGACGCAGUGGGCCCGCGGCAGGAGGUAAACUCUGGGGCAGCAGCACUCGGCUGCUGGCAUCGUUGGAAGUGGCUGGUCGAAGGCGAUGUCUGCUUCCCGCCUGCGGACAGCAGGGGUCUCCUGGGCUCCUGGGCUGCUGGACUCAACUGUAUGUUAAAAUCCCAUGUCAGUGCAAUAUUCAUGCUAAUAACGGGCUGAUGGAAAUGACAAAGAUCCAAAAUGGAAUUGUCUUGUGUUCAUGAAAGGGUGCAGAGAAAAUGUCCGUAACUGCUGGCUGCCCAGAGCACGUCCCACUUACAGGAACCGCUCACAGUGACGUGUCACGCCCACAGAGCAACCCGGCGCUCAGAGCAACAUGUCUUUGAGGUCUCAGCCAUGUUCGCUGCAGGGAGAUGGCAGGGGUAUGUUUUAGAUCCAGACACUCGACUCACAUAGUUGACCACAAACUGUUAAAAUGUCUGAGGUCGACUAACACACCUGCAGAGGCAGGAGGGACGGAAGGUGGGCUGAGCGGGAGGCGAGAGGACCGGUGGGCCGUGUCUACACUGCCUCUGCAGGAGUUUAUAGCAGACGGCCUGGCGUGUGGCCUGAACAGCCUCCUGCUGGUAAGGUUUGCCCGCGGCCUAUAGCAAGGGCUCCUGCAGAAAGGGCUGGGGACACAGACCUGCGGCCAGAUCUCCACAGUGUGAGCGGCUGGCAGCCCUGCGCCGGCUGGUGAUCCUGGACGCGUCACCUGCACGUCUGUGCUUCGGUUUCCCACGACGCCCCGAGAUCCUGGUGACACCCUCGCUCAGGGUUGUCACGAGCAUGCAAUAUGGAAACACGCGUGUGUGGGACCGUACCGCCCGACUGAAUACUUCCUGGUGGCUUCUCACGGGUUUGACCUCAGGAAGGAUGAGCAGCUCAGCUGGAAGCCCCGUGUGGCAGGAAAAGACCUCCAUCACCUGCCAGCAGGAGGCUCUUCCUCUGGGGUUUCAGAGGAAGGGAAAGCGUGGGCCUGGUUUUACAAUCCCGUUUAUGAUUUUCACAAUAAAUUGUGUUUCAGCCAUGAUCACAGCAAAUGGACUCUCCCUUGUUGUCCAGCUCUAGGAGCGUUCAUUCAUGCCUGGAGCUGUGUAGCCACCACCACAUCCAGGGAGAGAACCGUGGCAUCUCCACACAAGCGCCUCCUCCUCCCCAGGCCCUGGUCUGUCUCCAUCGCAUCGUGUGGACUUUCUGAGAAGCUGUGUCAAUGGAAUCACGUGUUAUGUCACCUCUUGAGAGCGACAUUUUCCCCUCAGCUCAGGGGCUGAGGGUCACCCAGGGCCUGCACCUACCAACUGCGUGUCCCUGUUUACCGCUGGGCAGUCCACGUGCCAGCUUGCUUAUCUCUCACCUGCUCAGGGAUUGGAGGAGGGAGCUGUUAGAAACGCCUGUACACAUACUACUGAGAUUUCAGCAGAGACACCAAUGAUAUAAAACCAUGUCAAAUUCACGCACAUUUUCAGUAGGAAAACUUAAUAAAAACGUGGUUUGCUGAUA